UACGGAGGGUGCAAGCAUUAAUCGGAUUUAUUGGGAGUAAAGGGCGCGUAGGCGGGAAUGUAAGUCAGAUGUGAAAUCCCGGGGCUCAACCCCGGAACUGCAUUUGAAACUGCAUUUCUUGAGGAUAGACGGAGAAAGUGGAAUUCCACAAGUAGCGGUGAAAUGCGUAGAUAUGUGGAAGAAUACCAGUGGCGAAGGCGACUUUCUAGUUUAUUCCUGACGCUGAGGCGCGAAAGCAAGGGGAGCAAACAGG
rnacentral:rRNA from 1 species